rnacentral:misc_RNA from 1 species
AAAUGCGAUAAGUAAUGUGAAUUGCAGAAUUCAGUGAAUCAUCGAAUCUUUGAACGCACAUUGCGCCCGCCAGUAUUCUGGCGGGCAUGCCUGUUCGAGCGUCAUUUCAACCAUCAAGCCCCCCGGCUUGUGUUGGGGACCUGCGGCUGCCCGCAGGCCCUGAAAAACAGUGGCGGGCUCGCUGUCACACCGAGCGUAGUAGCAUACAUUCUCGCUCAGGGCGUGCUGCGGGUUCCGGCCGUUAAACGACCUUCAUAACCCAAGGUUGACCUCGGAUCAGGUAGGAAGACCCGCUGAACUUAAGC